rnacentral:ncRNA from 2 species
AAUGUUCUUCGAGGCAGGGUGAAAUUCCCGACCGGCGGUAAAGUCCGCAACCCGCGCAAACGGUUGAACCCUUAAUGGUACCGAUAGUUAUAGUCUAGAUGGAAGAAGGAUAAU